ensembl:lncRNA
AUGGCCUGCUGGCUACAAUUUCUAUUUUCCGUCUUGGUGUCAAUCUGAUUUAAAGCUACGUUCUAUCACAACAGUGAUGCCGACUGGUUGAUAUUAGGAUAGUGGACCAUCUAGGUAAAAACGUAUAUGAUCAUAAUAGGCUAUUCUUAAAUUUGAUAUGGUUUGCUAUACAGUUUUCUGUCAUUGCGUCCGUAAUUACUUUCAUUGUACAGAUUAGCAACUGUGUGUGUGUGUGUACAUAACAUAAGGCUAAAACCUUUAGCUAUUUCUACGGUCAAAAUUAAAGUUAUUUUAAUUUUUUAAUUUAUGUAGAUAAUUGUAAGGGAAAGAUUUCCUGAAAACCUGUUGGGCGACAUAGUAGGAUACAAUGAAUAUUUAGUUAGGCAAAAAAGUGAAUUGCCUUUUAAAUACUGCAUGUGACUGCAUAAUUAAUUGUAUCACCAGUCUUGAUAUAGGCUAUUUAAGAUGUUUCUUAAUGACUUACUGAAAUCUGAAUUUUUAAACUACGCCAUUAAAACCUGACAUCGAAGAGUGUGUGUUUAUGUUUAGCGUAUGCUACACCUACCUUCACAUAAUUCAACUCCCAAAUCUAGAGCUGUCUAAAUUAGUUAAUGUAAUUUGAAUGUUAAUUAUUAUCGUACGCCUGGCCUUAUCAUCGCAUGGAAACCGACAACCUUCCAGUCUAGCAGACUACUUUGUGGCGAAAAAUAAAUAACUCAGAGAUAAUUCUGCAAACAUGCAUCGACAAUAUCUUUGUUGACAUUUCUAUUUCGAUGAACAACAGAUAACCUUAUCGUUUUAAUAUUAGCAAUCAAACAACGGCUCUCGGUCUGUUGGUGUUGGACUUGGCUAUUGGGGUUAUCUAAUGACUCACAAGAGUGGACAGGUAGAGAGCUAUUCGCCAGUCUGUCACAAUAUAACUUUCCACUCCAACUUAAAAGGGUUGUCGAGAAAUUAUGCUGUCUGGCCGGGAGUUGUCUUGGGACCAGUGACCCGCACAGGCAAGAGUCUCUUAAUCUCAUAGCCAUGACAUAAAACACUUUCCUGUUUACACGAUGGGGCGGAGACGGUACCCAGCCCGACGAAGUGCGCGUUGUGCACGCAUGAGAGCGGAGCACUGGACCGAAGGACUUUUGAUGGCAAUGCAAACUCAUGCCCUUGAUCCUGAUCCUCCCAUCUUUUGGAGGCUCACCAGUGCAACCAGCGGUUCAGCCGACAUUCAAACACCCCCCUUUGGUAUACGUCUAAAACAUCCUCAUGCAAAACAGCUGUGGGAACCUCAAUAAAUGAAAGCUAGAUUCUCAACCGCACCCGACUCAGUCCUAUUUAUUUAGUUCGUUUUUUUGUGGGGUAGGGGUAUUCGGAAGUGCUUUGGCCUACAGUCGUUGUAACCACGUAGCCUAUACGUAGCAAUAUGGGCCUACGCGACCAACGUUUUUCGAGGUUGGUUGUAAUGGUUUGACCAAUCGGUGUUAAGGAGAGUAAGGCCGUCCGCAAACCUAUUGUACGUUCAAUGGUAAAAAGGUUGAGUACUGAUACUUAGGCUACACUGUACAUGUCCUCUUUAUCUAAAAUACAAGAGGCUAUUGGAAUCACCUAAAUGCAGUAUGAAUUUCCUGUUCAAGCAGCAUCCCUUAAGCAUCUAGACUACCUUCUCUCGAAACUAAAAAAGUUGCACAAAGGAUCACAAUGUUACAAUUCAAUAUAAUUCGAACCUUUAAGCACAUGUAUACUUUGUUACAGUCAACUUUGUAUGCAGUGUAGUCAUACAUUAUAAUAGAAACUUAAUAGAAAGUGGGGCGUCGAGGUCAACUCCACUAAACGUUCUUGAUUGUAUUAUACUGCAUACGUAAUUCUAAUUGUAUGAUGAGUGCAAUACAAAAUAUGUUUUUCUCUUUUAGUGCAGAUAACCUUCAGGCCUAUUUGAGCAACUUGUAUUUCUCGUCUUAGUUGUUAUAAGACUCUACUAAACAGCCCCAUUGGGUUGAACUGAUAUAGUGCACAUAUUUCUUGAAUAUCUCUAUUAAUAGUAUUCUGUUCACCUACAUUUAAGAACAGAAACAUCCGGAUUUGUGAUCAUGUUUUAUUUAUCGCUUGCCUCAUAAAACGUUAGAAGGAAUCUUGCGUUUCCCAAAAGCGUUUUAUAUGCAAUUUUACACUUUUCAUCAAUUUCAUUUAAUGCAAUCCUGAAAAGCAAAAUCAACUAAAUGAUGCAUUUGUACAAAAGUUUUGCAUAAGAACAUGUAAGAAUGAUGCAUGUUGUUUUAGGGUUAUACUGCAGACUAAUGUUAACGUUGUAAAAUUGUUUUAUAACGUUUGAUAUGGAGCAUCCUGAGCUUGAUAGAGGUCAUACCAAAAUAAUCACCUAUUUCACAUACAUAAAAUGUAAAACAUGUAUCACUUAGAAGCACUUUAAGCCUUUGUGUCUAUGAAUACUGACCAAUCGGAGAUUAACAAUCAGCGCACGAUGUGACCCACAGAGAAAAAAAAAAUCAUUUAUCGAUAUUUAAAAAAAACGAAUCACGAAUCAGUAUUUUCUUUUAGUUUUAACUAUUUCUCUGGAAGGACCAGAAACCACAUUCGCUAUUUUAAAAGGCUUGACAGCGACAUGGACAUGAAUAUUUAAAGUAGACAUUUCUCGAGAUUAUAUUUCUCGCCCCGUUAAUCAGAAGCUCUGGUCAACCGAACCUUUCGUCUCCCCGCGCAACACAAAACCAGCAGAAUUUUUAACAUGGGCAGAGGAUGGAAUUCUCUCGUCGCACUUAUUCUGAAGAUAGCGUCACUCCGUAAGCAUAACCCAUCACCUGUUGUUAAGGGACAUCGUGAUUGUUCUUUUGCAUGUGAAUUCUUAGCCCCAAGUGUAAUUGGUAAAUAUUCAACAGUUGUCUUGUCCUGAGUUUAGACAUUAAAAUAAACUUUUCUGGUGAUAAAAAAUCAAAAUAAACUUUUCUGUCGUUAAUAUCCUACGUGGCUGUUUAAAGCCUGCAUUUUUAAUAAUGUAAAUCAUAUGUAGUCAUGUAUCAGCAGUCCUGUAUCAUAAUAGCAUGCACACACACUUCCACACUAUGCUUUGUGCCAAGACGAGGAACACGGAUAAUUCUGCAAUUGAACUUUAGCAGAACAUCAGAGGCAAACGGCUAGUAGUUAGAUUGCUGUGGGACUUGUAGCUUGCUUGGCAGUGUUACACUUUGAAGCCUCCCUUUGACAAAGCUUCAGUAGUUGCCACAGACAUUCAUUAACCGUUCCACACUACAUGGGUCUAAUGAAUAGCUGGAAUUGAUCAGGGAGCCUCAGUCAGAUUCCUACCAGGGGAGCUGUAGACAAAUCCCCCUCAAUGCACAAAAAAACAGAGAAAGAAAAUGCUAGAAGGUCGGCACAGGUAAGAUUACACUGACCACAGCGACAUGGGGCGAUGGGAGAAAGAGCAGCGUGAGCAGCCUGGGAGACCCCUUCCUCCAGCUUUCACCCACCCCUCCUGUC